rnacentral:rRNA from 1 species
UACGUAGGGUGCAAGCGUUGUCCGGAAUUAUUGGGCGUAAAGAGCUCGUAGGCGGUUUGUCGCGUCUGCUGUGAAAACUCGGGGCUUAACUCCGGGCCUGCAGUGGGUACGGGCAGACUAGAGUGAUGUAGGGGAGACUGGAAUUCCUGGUGUAGCGGUGAAAUGCGCAGAUAUCAGGAGGAACACCGAUGGCGAAGGCAGGUCUCUGGGCCACUACUGACGCUGAGAAGCGAAAGCGUGGGGAGCGAACAGG